UACGUAGGGUGCAAGCGUUACUCGGAAUUACUGGGCGUAAAGCGUGCGCAGGCGGUGAUGUAAGUCAGAUGUGAAAUCCCCGGGCUCAACCUGGGAACUGCAUCUGUGACUGCAUCGCUGGAGUACGGUAGAGGGGGAUGGAAUUCCGCGUGUAGCAGUGAAAUGCGUAGAUAUGCGGAGGAACACCGAUGGCGAAGGCAAUCCCCUGGACCUGUACUGACGCUCAUGCACGAAAGCGUGGGGAGCAAACAGG
rnacentral:rRNA from 1 species